rnacentral:rRNA from 1 species
UAGGGAAUCUUCCACAAUGGGCGCAAGCCUGAUGGAGCAACGCCGCGUGAGUGAAGAAGGUCUUCGGAUCGUAAAACUCUGUUGUUAGAGAAGAACAUGCAGGAGAGUAACUGUUCUUGCGUUGACGGUAUCUAACCAGAAAGCCACGGCUAACUACGUGUCAG